GCAAACUUGGUCAUUUAGAGGAAGUAAAAGUCGUAACAAGGUCUCCGUUGGUGAACCAGCGGAGGGAUCAUUACCGAGUUGCAAAACUCCCAAACCCUAGUGAACUGGUUGGCUUUACUUUCCGCUGCCUCGACGGGCGACCCCAGGGCGGGGUCGCAGCUUGAUUCUGUCAAGCGCCCGUCGGCGGUGCGGAUCACUAAAACUCUUCUAAAAUAACUCUUCUGAGUGUUCUAUAUGAACUAGUCAAAACUUUCAACAACGGAUCUCUUGGUUCUGGCAUCGAUGAAGAACGCAGC
rnacentral:misc_RNA from 1 species